rnacentral:rRNA from 1 species
ACUCCUACGGGAGGCAGCAGUAGGGAAUCUUCCACAAUGGGCGCAAGCCUGAUGGAGCAACACCGCGUGAGUGAAAAAGGGUUUCGGCUCGUAAAGCUCUGUUGUUAAAGAAGAACACGUAUGAGAGUAACUGUUCAUACGUUGACGGUAUUUAACCAGAAAGUCACGGCUAACUACGUGCCAGCAGCCGCGGUAAUACGUAGGUGGCAAGCGUUAUCCGGAUUUAUUGGGGCGUAAAGAGAGUGCAGGCGGUUUUCUAAGUCUGAUGUGAAAGCCUUCGGCUUAACCGGAGAAGUGCAUCGGAAACUGGAUAACUUGAGUGCAGAAGAGGGUAGUGGAACUCCAUGUGUAGCGGUGGAAUGCGUAGAUAUAUGGAAGAACACCAGUGGCGAAGGCGGCUACCUGGUCUGCAACUGACGCUGAGACUCGAAAGCAUGGGUAGCGAACAGGAUUAGAUACCCUGGUAGGAUAGCGU